GUCCACGCCAAGUUAAAAAGAUAAUUGGAACAUAAAUAUACAAUGGCAUGGACGCGUCUACGCCAAGUGUAAAAAGUCAUUGGAACACAAAUAUUUGUAUAUCAGUGUUCCAAUGACUUUUUAACUUGGCGUGGACGCGUCCACGCCGUAUAUAUUUGUGUUCCAAUUAUUUUUUUAACUUUGGCGUGGAC